rnacentral:rRNA from 1 species
UUUUAAUUGAGGGAUAGUAUGAAUGGUAAAACACAUAGAAUUUAGUUUUAAGAUUAUAAUUUAAAUUUAGUAAGUUAGUUAAAAUCCUAACUAUAUAUUUAGGGACAAGAAGACCCUAUAAAGUUUAACUUUUAAGUUUUAUUUGUAGAACGAUUGAGUUUUGUUGGGGUAACAUUAUAAGAUAAGAUUUUAUAAUCAUGAAUUUUACUAAGAUUUUAUGAACCAUUUUUAGUGAUUAUAAGAUUAAAUUACUUUAGGGAUAACAGCAUAAUUAAAAUUUUUAAGUUCAAAUUGACAAUUUUGGUUAUGACCUCGAUGUUG